GGUGGCGUAGCUCAGUCGGUAGAGCAAGGGACUCAUAAGCCCUGUGUCGUAGGUUCGAUUCCUACCGCCACUACCA
rnacentral:tRNA from 1 species